AUUGAACGCUGGCGGCAGGCCUAACACAUGCAAGUCGAGCGAGUGGCGGACGGGUGAGUAAUGUCUUGGAAACUGCCUGAUGGAGGGGGAUAACUACUGGAAACGGUAGCUAAUACCGCAUACCAUCGGAUGUGCCCAGAUGGGUUGAGCUAGUAGGUGGGGUAACGGCUCACCUAGGCGACGAUCCCUAGCUGGUCUGAGCGGAUGACCGGCAACACUGGAACUGAUACACGGCCCAUACUCCAACGGGAGGAAGCAGUCGGGAAUAUUGCACAAUGGGCGCAAGCCUGAUGCAGCCAUGCCGCGUUUGUGAAGAAGGCCUUCGGGUUGUAAAGCACUUUCAGCGGGGAGGCGUUACCCGCAGAAGAAGCACCGGCUAACUCCGUGCCAGCCGCCGCGGUAAUAC
rnacentral:rRNA from 1 species